rnacentral:rRNA from 1 species
AGAGUAUGGGAGAGGAUGGUAGAAUUCCAGGUGUAGCGGUGAAAUGCGUAGAGAUCUGGAGGAAUACCGAUGGCGAAGGCAGCCAUCUGGCCUAAUACUGACGCUGAGGUACGAAAGCAUGGGGAGCAAACAGGAUUAGAUACCCUGGUAGUCCAUGCCGUAAACGAUGUCUACUAGCCGUUGGGGCCUUUGAGGCUUUAGUGGCGCAGCUAACGCGAUAAGUAGACCGCCUGGGGAGUACGGUCGCAAGACUAAAACUCAAAUGAAUUGACGGGGGCCCGCACAAGCGGUGGAGCAUGUGGUUUAAUUCGAUGCAACGCGAAGAACCUUACCUGGCCUUGACAUACUAGAAACUUUCCAGAGAUGGAUUGGUGCCUUCGGGAAUCUAGAUACAGGUGCUGCAUGGCUGUCGUCAGCUCGUGUCGUGAGAUGUUGGGUUAAGUCCCGCAACGAGCGCAACCCUUUUCCUUACUUGCCAGCAUUUCGGAUGGGAAC